rnacentral:rRNA from 1 species
UAACGCGUGGGUAACCUGCCUCGUACAGGGGGAUAACAGUUAGAAAUGACUGCUGAUACCGCAUAAGACCACAGCACCGCAUGGUGCAGGGGUAAAAACUCCGGUGGUAUGAGAUGGACCCGCGUCUGAUUAGCUAGUUGGUAAGGUAACGGCUUACCAAGGCGACGAUCAGUAGCCGACCUGAGAGGGUGACCGGCCACAUUGGGACUGAGACACGGCCCAAACUCCUACGGGAGGCAGCAGUGGGGAAUAUUGCACAAUGGGGGAAACCCUGAUGCAGCGACGCCGCGUGAGCGAAGAAGUAUUUCGGUAUGUAAAGCUCUAUCAGCAGGGAAGAAAAUGACGGUACCUGACUAAGAAGCACCGGCUAAAUACGUGCCAGCAGCCGCGGUAAUACGUAUGGUGCAAGCGUUAUCCGGAUUUACUGGGUGUAAAGGGAGCGUAGACGGAUGGGCAAGUCUGAUGUGAAAACCCGGGGCUCAACCCCGGGACUGCAUUGGAAACUGUUCAUCUAGAGUGCUGGAGAGGUAAGUGGAAUUCCUAGUGUAGCGGUGAAAUGCGUAGAUAUUAGGAGGAACACCAGUGGCGAAGGCGGCUUACUGGACAGUAACUGACGUUGAGGCUCGAAAGCGUGGGGAGCAAACAGGAUUAGAUACCCUGGUAGUCCACGCCGUAAACGAUGACUACUAGGUGU